GCUAGCUACAGGCUUAACACAUGCAAGUCGAGGGGAAACGACAUCGAAAGCUUGCUUUUGAUGGGCGUCGACCGGCGCACGGGUGAGUAACGCGUAUCCAACCUGCCCACCACUUGGGGAUAACCUUGCGAAAGUAAGACUAAUACCCAAUGACGUCUCUAGAAGACAUCUGAAGGAGAUUAAAGAUUUAUCGGUGAUGGAUGGGGAUGCGUCUGAUUAGCUUGUUGGCGGGGUAACGGCCCACCAAGGCAACGAUCAGUAGGGGUUCUGAGAGGAAGGUCCCCCACAUUGGAACUGAGACACGGUCCAAACUCCUACGGGAGGCAGCAGUGAGGAAUAUUGGUCAAUGGGCGAGAGCCUGAACCAGCCAAGUAGCGUGCAGGAUGACGGCCCUAUGGGUUGUAAACUGCUUUUAUAAGGGAAUAAAGUGAGUCUCGUGAGACUUUUUGCAUGUACCUUAUGAAUAAGGACCGGCUAAUUCCGUGCCAGCAGCCGCGGUAAUACGGAAGGUCCGGGCGUUAUCCGGAUUUAUUGGGUUUAAAGGGAGCGUAGGCCGGAGAUUAAGCGUGUUGUGAAAUGUAGACGCUCAACGUCUGCACUGCAGCGCGAACUGGUUUCCUUGAGUACGCACAAAGUGGGCGGAAUUCGUGGUGUAGCGGUGAAAUGCUUAGAUAUCACGAAGAACUCCGAUUGCGAAGGCAGCUCACUGGAGCGCAACUGACGCUGAAGCUCGAAAGUGCGGGUAUCGAACAGGAUUAGAUACCCUGGUAGUCCGCACGGUAAACGAUGGAUGCCCGCUGUUGGUCUGAAUAGGUCAGCGGCCAAGCGAAAGCAUUAAGCAUCCCACCUGGGGAGUACGCCGGCAACGGUGAAACUCAAAGGAAUUGACGG
rnacentral:rRNA from 1 species